AGUAGUGGGGGAUAGCCCGGGAAACCCGGAAUUAAUACCGCAUACGCCCUACGGGGGAAAGCAGGGNUCUUUUGGACCUUGCGCUAUUGGAUGAGCNUACGUCUGAUUAGCUUGUUGGUAGGGUAAUGGCCUACCAAGGCGACGAUCAGUAGCUGGUCUGAGAGGACGAUCAGCCACACUGGGACUGAGACACGGCCCAGACUCCUACGGGAGGCAGCAGUGGGGAAUAUUGGACAAUGGGCGAAAGCCUGAUCCAGCAAUGCCGCGUGUGUGAAGAAGGCCUGCGGGUUGUAAAGCACUUUCAGCAGGGAAGAAGAGCCUUGAGGCUAAUAUCCUCAAGGCUAGACGUU
rnacentral:rRNA from 1 species